CCUACGGGAGACAGCAGUGGGGAAUAUUGGACAAUGGGGGUAACCCUGAUCCAGCGACGCCGCGUGAGUGAAGAAGUAUUUCGGUAUGUAAAGCUCUAUCAGCAGGGAAGAAAGAAAUGACGGUACCUGACUAAGAAGCCCCGGCUAACUACGUGCCAGCAGCCGCGGUAAUACGUAGGGGGCAAGCGUUAUCCGGCUUUAUUGGGUUUAAGGGGUGCGCAGGCGGUCUGUUAAGUCAGCGGUAAAAGCCCGGGGCUCAACCCCGGCCCGCCGUUGAAACUGGCAGUCUCGAGUUGGAGAGAAGUAUGCGGAAUGCGCGGUGUAGCGGUGAAAUGCAUAGAUAUCGCGCAGAACUCCGAUUGCGAAGGCAGCAUGCCGGCUCCACACUGACGCUGAGGCACGAAAGCGUGGGUAUCGAACAGGAUUAGAUACCCUAGUAGUC
rnacentral:rRNA from 1 species